GACGAACGCUGGCGGCGUGCUUAACACAUGCAAGUCGAACGAAGUGGCGAACGGGUGAGUAAUACGUGGGUGACAUGCCCUCCUUUUUGGGAUAAGCCUUGGAAACGGGGUCUAAUCCCGACUACAGGGGGAUGGGCUAGUGGCCUUUCGGCUUGGUGUUGGGGUGAUGGCCUCCCAAGGCGGUGACGGGUACACGGCCUGAGAGGGGGAACGGGAACGUAGGUACGGGGAUACGGCCCAGACUACGACGGGGGGCGGCAGUGGGGGAUAUUGGACAAUGGGGGAAAGCGUGAUGCAGCGACGCCGCGUAGGGGAUGAAGGCUUUCGGGUUGUAAACGUCAGUCACUAUCGAACGGGUAGGUGGAGAAGAAGCGCCGGCUAACUACGUGCCAGCAGCCGCGGUAAUUC
rnacentral:rRNA from 1 species